GGACCCUGGAGUCCGCCGGCUGCUGCCUCCCGCUCCUCCCUCCCUCUCCUCCGGCCCAAUCUCCGCCAUUCUGCUCAGGAAGAUUCUGUUCCUAACACUCAGUCCUUAAGCUCAACCCUGGGAGACCCAAGACCUGCAGAGGAGCCUCCUCCCAUCCAGGCUAAUAGGUCCUGUCACCGUGGCCCCCAGAUCCAAACCCAAGGUUUUUCUCUAUGUGGCAUUGAGGAAAGAGCCAUACAGACCUGAGUUCCAUGCUGAUCCUGCCACUGUGAAUUUGGGUGAUUUACUUGAUCUCCCCGAACCUCAUUCUCUUCAUCUGUGCAACGAGGCAAGAUCUACUGGUGUCUUGCCUGGCUGUUGGCACUACCUGGCUGCUUAGUAAAUGCUACCUAUCAUCGCACUUUAUACCUACCCUGUUCCAAUGCCAUCACCCUCUCUCUGCUUCCCUGUCAAUCUUUGUCAUUUCUGCCUGGCCACACCUCCUCCCUCUUCUUCCACCUUAACCUAGCUUUGCUCUCUCCUCCUAAAUCUCCUUCCCUAUGGUGCCCCGUUCUGUGCAUUUGUGAACAGCUCACCCAGGUCUCUAAUAUUCGAAAGAGGGUCCAGUUAAGCCUUCUUUGAAGGUCAUGAGGGCUGGGGUUACUGCUGACUGGUGCCUGAAUAGAGGAGCUGGUGCCUGGUCAGAGAAAGGAGGCAGCUUCACAGAGCAAAUCUUCCUAGAACAGUUCAAACCUUUCCAGUAUCGUUCUUAGCCAGAAAUUGUCUGGGACUUGCUUUGAUUUUUUUUUCUUCCCCUCUCCUGUGUGUGUUGAGACAAGUCUCCCAAACCUGUGGCUUCGAGUACAGCCCCCAUACCACUGCAUCACCCCCUUUCUCAAUCCACCUACACUUGUUGGCUCCAGCGAGACACACUGAGGCUUUGUUUAAAAACUGGGCGGGACUGGCAAUAUCAACAUCUCAAUGUCCUGCAUUCAGAUGCUAUAGUCCUUUCAUUUGUUCUGUGUCCUUAGGCAAGACACCCGACUUUUCUGGGCCCAAGAUCCAACUAUCCUGGUAGAGGGAAGAGGUGGUGGCUCCAUUUUCCUAGAAGGGUUGAUGGAGGAUUCGGUUAUUGUUUACGGAGGAUGGUGGCUCUGUCGCUACACCCAAGAUUCACUCUGGAUUUGAGCAGAUAUCUGUACACCCAUGUCCAUGGCAGCGUUCUUCACAAUGGGCAAAAAGAUGGAAACAGCCCAAGUG